rnacentral:rRNA from 1 species
UACGGGGGGGGCAAGCGUUGUUCGGAAUUACUGGGCGUAAAGGGCUCGUAGGUGGCCAACUCAGUCGGACGUGAAAUCCCUCGGCUUAACCGGGGAACUGCGUCCGAUACUGGAUGGCUUGAGAUCGGGAGAGGGAUGCGGAAUUCCAGGUGUAGCGGUGAAAUGCGUAGAUAUCUACUGGAAUGCCGAUGGGGAAGCCGUCCGGCUGGGCCUGUCCUGACGCUCAGGCACGAAAGCGUGGGGAUCAAACAGG